UUUUGUUUUCUCUUCCAAAUGAAAAUACGCCCAAUCUCAUUAUGAGCAUUCAAGAGGAUUGGCAUUGAGAGACCACCGGGCCUCCAGGGUUAUGUUAUACUUGCGGCUACCCUAGAUCUCUGACUUUUUUUGACCUUGGCUUGGUUCAGGGCUCCUUUCAAAAUUUACAAUGAAAACCUCAGUAGGCACUGAAAUGAAUAUUCAUAGGAAGCAGGAAUGGAAAUAGACGGCACAUUUGGUUGACAAUGAGAACUUUUCUCCCCAUUUGGAAUAGGAGGCAUGAUGGCUAUAAUGUAAAUUCCUGCCAGUCGUACCAGUCCGUAUGGUAUAAAUACUAAAGUUGUAAUAUGACAAUUGCUUUAUAAAAAGCUUGAAAGAAAGGCGAGAACUUUGGCAGAGAAAAAAAUCUUCGUUUAUGCUAUUGAGGGGUUAUUAGGAAGCAUUAUGUUUUUAUUCCCUCUGAAUUUCACGAGGCAUUUUAUAAAAUGAUGAUUAUGAAUUUAAUGUUUUUUGUGGUAAGAAAUGUUAAAAUAAGUCAAACUCAAUUUGUAUU